GACGAACGCUGGCGGCGUGCUUAACACAUGCAAGUCGAACGGAAAGGCCCUGCUUUUGUGGGGUGCUCGAGUGGCGAACGGGUGAGUAACACGUGAGUAACCUGCCCUUGACUUUGGGAUAACUUCAGGAAACUGGGGCUAAUACCGGAUAGGAGCUCCUGCUGCAUGGUGGGGGUUGGAAAGUUUCGGCGGUUGGGGAUGGACUCGCGGCUUAUCAGCUUGUUUGUGUGGUAGUGGCUUACCAAGGCUUUGACGGGUAGCCGGCCUGAGAGGGUGACCGGCAACAUUGGGACUGAGAUACGGCCCAGACGCCUACGGGAGGCAGCAGGGGGGAAUAUUGCACAAUGGGCGGAAGCCUGAUGCAGCAACGCCGCGUGCGGGAUGACGGCCUUCGGGUUGUAAACCGCUUUCGCCUGUGACGAAGCGUGAGUGACGGUAACGGGUAAAGAAGCACCGGCUAACUACGUG
rnacentral:rRNA from 1 species